rnacentral:tRNA from 1 species
UCCCUGGUGGCUCAAUGGUAAAGAAUCUGCCUGCCAAUGCAGGAGACACGGGUUCGAUCCCUGAUCUGGGAA